CGAAGAGCUGCUGGAAACUCACAGUUUGAAAGAUUUUUACAAACAUAUAGUCCUUGACCAAAUAGAGGUAGUUCACCAGCUGUGAAAACAGCGCCGCUGUCCGGUCACACCGGGAACUGCAGACCAGCGACGAGAGGGGGAGAGAAAAAGCUCCUAAAAUCUUCCAUCUGCUUCGAGUCGUCAUCUCCAAAAAAUGGUGAAACCGGACACCGGGAGGCUCGACCGCCUUUAACCCCUUCACUGCCUCCCCGAGAGCCCAGAACCAGAGAGCAGAGACCAGAACUGACACAGACACUGUUUGUUUGUUUGUUUGUUUGUUUACACACUGUGUUGGGAUGUGAGUUUAACCUUAAUAGAAAUAUUGAACCUUUCUCUCUGUGUUUAUCUGCUGCUUGUUGUUAUUGAUUAUAUGACACAGUUACACUAUUUAUUACUGAUUACACAUAAAUGCAUCAGUAAUAAUUAAUAAUAUCAAUAAACACCAACAGAGGUCAUUUUUCUGCAUUAUUGGUGCUUUUAAUUAAGAAUAUUUAGCUCUAAUACAAACUGCUGUUUGUGUAUAAGUGAAUAUAAAUCUGUUACUUUAUAAAUGAAGCUGUGAUUUUAAUGUGUAAACGACCUUUAAUGGAGCUGGUUAUUGAUACUUCUACCACUGACUGACUUUAUGCAUCUUUAUUAAUAAUUAUUAUUAUUAGAACUUUUGUUAUUGUUAUUAUUGCAGGUUAUUGAUAUUUUACUUUAUAUAUCGAUGGAAAUAAAUGUUUUUACUUUAAACAUCA